GCGCUGCAUUAGCUAGUUGGUAAGGUAACGGCUUACCAAGGCAACGAUGCAUAGCCGACCUGAGAGGGUGAUCGGCCACACUGGAACUGAGACACGGUCCAGACUCCUACGGGAGGCAGCAGUAGGGAAUCUUCCGCAAUGGGCGAAAGCCUGACGGAGCAACGCCGCGUGAGUGAUGAAGGUCUUCGGAUCGUAAAACUCUGUUAUUAGGGAAGAACAUAUGUGUAAGUAACUGUGCACAUCUUGACGGUACCUAAUCAGAAAGCCACGGCUAACUACGUGCCAGCAGCCGCGGUAAUACGUAGGUGGCAAGCGUUAUCCGGAAUUAUUGGGCGUAAAGCGCGCGUAGGCGGUUUUUUAAGUCUGAUGUGAAAGCCCACGGCUCAACCGUGGAGGGUCAUUGGAAACUGGAAAACUUGAGUGCAGAAGAGGAAAGUGGAAUUCCAUGUGUAGCGGUGAAAUGCGCAGAGAUAUGGAGGAACACCAGUGGCGAAGGCGACUUUCUGGUCUGUAACUGACGCUGAUGUGCGAAAGCGUGGGGAUCAAACAGGAUU
rnacentral:rRNA from 1 species